ACGUAGGGGGCGAGCGUUAAUCGGAAUUACUGGGCGUAAAGCGUACGCAGGCGGUUAUUUAAGUCAUAAGUGAAAUCCCCAGGCUCAACCUGGGAACUGCAUUAGUAACUGCAUAACUUGAGUACGGGAGAGGGGGAUGGAAUUCCGCGUGUAGCAGUGAAAUGCGUAGAUAUGCGGAGGAACACCGAUGGCGAAGGCAAUCCCCUGGGCCUGUACUGACGCUCAUGUGCGAAAGCGUGGGGAGCAAACAG
rnacentral:rRNA from 1 species